UUGACCUCAAAUCAGGUAGGACCACCCGCUGAACUUAAGCAUAUCAAUAAGCGGAGGAAAAGAAACUAACAAGGAUUCCCCUAGUAACUGCGAGUGAAGAGGGAAAAGCUCAAAUUUGUAAUCUGGCGGUCUUUGACUGUCCGAGUUGUAAUCUAGAGAAGUGUUACCUGCGCUGGACCAUGUACAAGUCUCCUGGAAUGGAGCAUCAUAGAGGGUGAGAAUCCCGUCUUUGACAUGGACUUCCAGAGCUUAUAGGUGUGCUCUCAAAGAGUCGAGUUGUUUGGGAAUGCAGCUCAAAAUGGGUGGUAAAUGCCAUCUAAAGCUAAAUAUUGGCGAGAGACCGAUAGCGAACAAGUACCGUGAGGGAAAGAUGAAAAGAACUUUGGAAAGAGAGUUAAACAGUACGUGAAAUUGCUGAAAGGGAAACGCUUGAAGUCAGUCGCAUCAGUUGGAAAUCAACCUUGCUUUUGCUGGGCGUACUUUCUGUCUGAUGGGUCAGCAUCAAUUUUGAUUGCUGGAUAAAGUUCUUGGGAAUGUGGCAUCUUUGGAUGUGUUAUAGCCUUUGGACAUAUACAGUGGUUGGGAUUGAGGAACUCAGCACG
rnacentral:rRNA from 1 species